rnacentral:rRNA from 1 species
CCCUUAGAUGUCCUGGGCCGCACGCGCGCUACACUGAUGCAUGCAACGAGUAUAUAACCUUGGCCUGAAAGGCCUGGGUAAUCUUUUGAACGUGCAUCGUGAUAGGGAUAGAUUAUUGCAAUUAUUAAUCUUGAACGAGGAAUUCCUAGUAAACGCGAGUCAUCAGCUCGCAUUGAUUACGUCCCUGCCCUUUGUACACACCGCCCGUCGCACCUACCGAUUGAAUGGUCCGGUGAAGCCUCGGGAUUGUGGCCAGUUCACUUUAUUGGGAGUUGGCUGUGAGAACUUGUCUAAACCUUAUCAUUUAGAGGAAGGUGAAGUCGUAACA